rnacentral:rRNA from 1 species
UACGUAGGGGCAAGCGUUGUCCGGAUUUAUUGGGCGUAAAGAGCGUGUAGGCGGCCUGGUAGGUCAGCUGUGAAAACUCGAGGCUCAACCUCGAGACGCCGGUUGAAACCAUCAGGCUAGAGUCCGGAAGAGGAGAGUGGAAUUCCCGGUGUAGCGGUGAAAUGCGCAGAUAUCGGGAAGAACACCCGUGGCUAAGGCGGCUCUCUAGUACGGUACUGACGCUGAGACGCGAAAGCGUGGGGAGCGAACAGG